GGGUGCAAGCGUUAAUCGGAAUUACUGGGCGUAAAGCGCACGCAGGCGGUCUGUCAAGUCGGAUGUGAAAUCCCCGGGCUCAACCUGGGAACUGCAUUCGAAACUGGCAGGCUAGAGUCUUGUAGAGGGGGGUAGAAUUCCAGGUGUAGCGGUGAAAUGCGUAGAGAUCUGGAGGAAUACCGGUGGCGAAGGCGGCCCCCUGGACAAAGACUGACGCUCAGGUGCGAAAGCGUGGGGAGCAAACAGGAUUAGAUACCCUGGUAGUCAAGGGCGAAUUCGC
rnacentral:rRNA from 1 species